AGAAUUAUGAAGGUAGACCUCAGCUUCCCUUCAACACCUGAUGUAUCUGCUGAACCUAAGAAUCUCAUUAGCCAACUUCUUGUGAUGGACUCUUCAAAAAUGCUUUCUUUUCAAAAGAUCAUGGAGCAUCCUUGGAUAAUUAAGAAUGUCACAUGACACUAUAAUUUGAGUCGCUUCGCCAAUUUUCAUCGUUUAGUUAAAGCGCCCUGUCUAGUGAAACUGUGAAAGUAACCGAUAACAUAAAGUUUUUUUUUUCACCUGCUGGUGUUUCAACUCUUUUUGCUAUUACAUAUGAUAUGUAAAUGUAAUCAUCUUGGUUUCAAUAGUUUGUAUCAGAUGGAGUGUGAAGCUAUGUUGGUGGACAUUGAUAUAGUUUCCUGGAAAUAGUUGUAUAUCAUUUACAUAUGA